AGAGUUUGAUCCUGGCUCAGAACGUACGCUGGCGGCACGCCUAACACAUGCAAGUCGAACGAAGUAGCAAUACUUAGUGGCAGACGGGUGAGUAACAUGUAGGUAUCUGCCCUUUGGCCUGGAAUAACACGAGGAAACUUGUGCUAAUACCGGAUAAGUCUUUACGGAGAAAGCUUUAUGCACCAUUGGAUGAGCCUGCACUUGAUUAGUUUGUUGGUGGGGUAAUGGCCUACCAAGACUGUGAUCAAUAGCUGAUUUGAGAGGAUGAUCAGCCACAUUGGGACUGAGACACGGCCCAAACUCCUACGGGAGGCAGCAGUGGGGAAUCUUGCACAAUGGAGGAAACUCUGAUGCAGCGAUGCCGCGUGAGUGAAGAAGGCCUUUGGGUUGUAAAGCUCUUUCGUCGGGGAAGAAAAUGACUGUACCCGAAUAAGAAGGUCCGGCUAACUUCGUGCCAGCAGCCGCGGUAAUACGAAGGGACCUAGCGUAGUUCGGAAUUACUGGGCUUAAAGAGUUCGUAGGUGGUUGAAAAAGUUGGUGGUGAAAUCCCAGAGCUUAACUCUGGAACUGCCAUCAAAACUUUUCAGCUAGAGUAUGAUAGAGGAAAGCAGAAUUUCUAGUGUAGAGGUGAAAUUCGUAGAUAUUAGAAAGAAUACCAAUUGCGAAGGCAGCUUUCUGGAUCAUUACUGACACUGAGGAACGAAAGCAUGGGUAGCGAAGAGGAUUAGAUACCCUCGUAGUCCAUGCCGUAAACGAUGUGUGUUAGACGUUGGAAAUUUAUUUUCAGUGUCGCAGCGAAAGCGAUAAACACACCGCCUGGGGAGUACGACCGCAAGGUUAAAACUCAAAUGAAUUGACGGGGACCCGCACAAGUAGUGGAGCAUGUGGUUUAAUUCGAAGAUACGCGCAGAACCUUACCAACACUUGACAUGUUCGUCGCGACUCUAAGAGAUUAGAGUUUUCGGUUCGGCCGGACGAAACACAGGUGCUGCAUGGCUGUCGUCAGCUCGUGUCGUGAGAUGUUGGGUUAAGUCCCGCAACGAGCGCAACCCUCACUUUUAGUUGCCAUCAUUAAGUUGGGCACUCUGAAAGAACUGCCAGUGAUAAGCUGGAGGAAGGUGGGGAUGACGUCAAGUCCUCAUGGCCCUUACGUGUUGGGCUACACACGUGCUACAAUGGUAUCUACAACAGGAAGCAAGACUGCGAAGUUAAGCAAAUCCUUAAAAGAUACCUCAGUUCGGAUUGCACUCUGCAACUCGAGUGCAUGAAGCUGGAAUUACUAGUAAUCGUGGAUCAGCGUGCCACGGUGAAUGCGUUCCCGGGUCUUGUACACACCGCCCGUCACACCAUGGGAGUUGGUUCUACCUUAAGGCAAGGUUUCAAACCCUUGACCACGGUAUAGUCAGCGACUGGGGUGAAGUCGUAACAAGGUAACCGUA
rnacentral:rRNA from 1 species